GAAGCAGGACAAAUCGCCCCACUGGCAAAACGCCCCACACCAAAUCGCCCCACUUUUUAACCAGCUCGCCCCACUUUUUAGAAAAUCGCCCCAAACUGGUUUACCAACUCGCCCCACUUUUUAAAAAAUCGCCUCACUUGUGAAAAGGGUUAAAUCCCGUUAAUGUUUCCCCUGUCAACUCGCCCCACUUAUUGAAUAAAGGUAAAAUCUACUUCAAUAUAUAAUUUUCAGGUCUACCAACUAGCCCCACUUUAAAUGAAAACUAGUCUACACUGUCACAGAAUACC
rnacentral:lncRNA from 1 species